UGGGGAAUCUUGCACAAUGGGGGAAACCCUGAUGCAGCGACGCCGCGUGAGCGAUGAAGCCCUUCGGGGUGUAAAGCUCUUUCGGCAGGAACGAUGAUGACGGUACCUGCAGAAGAAGCUGCGGCUAACUACGUGCCAGCAGCCGCGGUAAUACGUAGGCAGCAAGCGUUGUUCGGAGUUACUGGGCGUAAAGAGUGCGUAGGCGGUGCUUUAAGUUUGGUGUGAAAUCUCCCGGCUUAACCGGGAGGGUGCGCCGAAAACUGGAGUGCUCGAGUGCGGGAGAGGAGAGCGGAAUUCCUGGUGUAGCGGUGAAAUGCGUAGAUAUCAGGAGGAACACCUGCGGUGUAGACGGCUCUCUGGACCGCAACUGACGCUGAGGCACGAAAGCGUGGGGAGCAAACAGGAUUAGAUACCCUGGUAGUCCACGCCCUAAACGAUGCACACUUGGUGUGGGCAGUUCAUUCUGUCUGUGCCGGAGUUAACG
rnacentral:rRNA from 1 species